AACAAGCCACUCUGACUUUUAUACUUCUAUUCACCUCGACGCGACCACUAAAACGAGUUCUCAACAUCUCAUGCGUGUACGCACAAUUCAGGCCUAAUUUCAUUCAUAGAAAUUCUGCAGAUUAAUACACCUGCUAGCUUUGUGCUUGUGCUUUGCAAUGGAAUCAUCAAGAAAAAAAAAUUACAACUGAAAAAAAAUAUGAU
rnacentral:lncRNA from 1 species